rnacentral:lncRNA from 14 species
CAGAGAUAGUGUUGAAGACCCCGUAGACUCAGAUACCCUGAAAUCUGAAUUUUGAAAGGAGGAGGUUUCUCUGUGAUCACAAAGCUAGAGCAAGAGAAGGGCAGCUUUCUAAACCACUCAGGAAGUGGCUUCUCAGAGAGGGUGGACCACCUGACUGAAAAAGGAAAUGUUCCCCCAGGCCUUCAGGCAGGAGGUAGAAGCCCUCAGGGACAGAGGGCAUCCUCAAACCACAGCCAUGGGAGUCUCUACUUGCUGGGCUUGGCAGGAACCACAGCCUCUGAGGACUGGAACAUCUAUAGAGCCCUCCAUAUACCUUUCAUCUGAAGCUUCUCAUGGGAGCCAGGGCCGAGGAAGCUCAGGACAGAAAGGAGAUCUAGGCAAGAAGACAUUCUACUGUGUAGAAGGAGACUGCCCCUUUGUCCCUCUAGGCUCUGGCGAGGGUGCAGGUGACAACUGAGCUGAAGAAAUGAUCCCCAGAGGAAUAGGAUUGUGGCUGUCUUCAGCUCUGCUCCUCUCUCGGGUCCCAGGCUGUGUCCCUCUGCGCGGCCCCAGCAGUGUGACACGCACUGUGGGGGAGUCCCUGGUCGUGUGGUGUCAGUAUGAGGAGAAAUACAAGAUGAAUGAAAAAUACUGGUGCAAACGGUCACUUGUUCUACUGUGCGAAAAUAUUAUCAAGACUGGAGUUUCAGAAGAAGCUAGGAAUGGCCAAGUGUCCAUCAGGGACCAUCCAGACAGCCUCAUCUUCACAGUGAUCUUUCAGAAACUCACCCUGGAGGAUACAGGGACCUAAAUGUGUGGGGUGGAUACACCAUUUACCGAUGACUCCUUGGGGAUUGGUAAGUU